AGUGAACGUUGGCGGCGUGGAUUAGGCAUGCAAGUCGCGCGGAAAGGCCCCGCAAGGGGCACUCGAGCGGCGUAAGGGAUAGUAACACGUGGGUAACCUACCCCUGGGACGGGGAUAGCUGCGGGAAACGGCAGGUAAUACCGGAUAACGGCCCCGGAACAAAGGUGUGAUUCCGCCUGGGGAGGGGCCCGCGUACUAGUAGCUAGUUGGCAGGGUAACGGCCUACCAAGGCAAAGAUGGGUAGGGGGUGUGAGGGGACGACCCCCAUCACUGGGACUGAGACACUGCCCAGACACCUACGGGUGGCUGCAGUCGAGAAUCUUCGGCAAUGGGAGCAAGCCUGACCGAGCGACGCCGCGUGCGGGAUGAAGGCCCUCGGGUUGUAAACCGCUGUCAGAGGGAAAGAAGUGCUGGGGGGUUCUCCCUUCAGUUUGACUGACCCUCAGAGGAAGUACGGGCUAAGUUCGUGCCAGCCGCCGCAGUAA
rnacentral:rRNA from 1 species